CCUCCAUCUUAUUAUAUUAAAGGUUACUCCCUUGUUCGUUAUAGCCUUCAUCUUAUUAUAUUAAAGGUUACUCCCUUGUUCGUUAUAGCCUUCAUCUUAUUAUAUUAAAGGUUACUCCCUUGUUCGUUAUAGCCUUCAUCUUAUUAUAUUAAAGGUUACUCCCUUGUUCGUUAUAGCCUUCAUCUUAUUAUAUUAAAGGUUACUCCCUUGUUCGUUAUAGCCUUCAUCUUAUUAUAUUAAAGGUUACUCCCUUGUUCGUUAUAGCCUUCAUCUUAUUAUAUUAAAGGUUACUCCCUUGUUCGUUGUAGCCUUCAUCUUAUUAUAUUAAAGGUUACUCCCUUCUUCGUUAUUCGCUCAUUUUCCGUUUUUUCCACUGCAAGUGUGCAUAUUUAUUUAUUUCUUUAUUUAUUUUCAUUUGUUUAUUUAAUGUUAUUUGUAGUAGAUAACUGAGGGGGGCACUACCCUGGCCUCCUCUUCCUCUGAUUCUCUUUCUUCACACAUUUAUCUUAAUACUUCACACUAUUGUCCAUAUGCUUCAUUUUUUUUUUCUUGACUUUUUAUCCAUACCUCACACUUUUCUUAGUAUUUCACAUUUUUUCUAGAUCAUACUCUACACUUCCUACCUGGGGGACGCGGUUUAGGCCUUUAUAAAGUCACUCUAUGGCUGCAUGUCCGCCGCGGCACACCACCACCCUGUGAGGCGUAGAGCCCCGUGCUCCCCUCCAUCCUGGGGUAACAAUCCUAAAACAAACAAACCUGGGAGGCGGGACGCUGCCGCUGCCUGUCACCUGACACCCUCUCACUGAUGAGUGGAUCGCGGCGCGGGUGGAGAGAGACUGCCCAUCCCUCUCCACUCCGCCCGGGAAGGAACUCAUGAAUUCUCGGUUGAGUCGCGUGUGCUACCCAUUGCACUACAGAACAACAGUGGUUGGCCAGAGUUUCCAUUACCAUAUCGUCAAAGUCCAUGUCCUCCGGAAGAACCAUUAAUUAUAUAAUUAAAUCGUCACUAUUAUUUCCGCCACUUAAAACGAGCAAAGCUUAAUGAAAAUAAGAGGCGUUUUCUCGUCAGAGUAAAUUAAACAAAAGCACUGUAAGCACAUGUCCCUAUUUAUCCCUAUACCGCUGCCGCCAGUUUUAGACCCUUCUUUUCUUGUAUUAAAUCAACUCUUUUAUCACUCAUUAAUUACUCCAUAAAUGAUCUCACCGUCUCGUAUCCCUGGUAGCGUGAUCCGGCUUAAGUUGUUAUUGGAGACUGGUGUUCGGGGAUAAACAAGGGAAAAAGAAAAUAUACAUUUAUUUAAAAUUAAAUGAAAGUAAUUGCCUUACGCAAUAUUCUAUGCUCAGACGAUCAUAACACUGGCAUAUUCAGCAAUGGAUGCAACAUAUGACAAACGACAUGUCUUAAACAUAAUACUACAAUAUGUGCUCAGUUGUUGCCAAUAAUAAUAACAUUCGUCGUUCCACAAGCAGUGGUUUGUAUCUCUCUGCUUACAUCACAAUCAUUAUGUACUCUCUUCACAAAAUCCUACUACACAUUCCUAUAGUAUAAUCUACUA